GACGAACGCUGGCGGCGUGCUUAACACAUGCAAGUCGAACGGAAAGGCCCUGCUUUUGUGGGGUGCUCGAGUGGCGAACGGGUGAGUAACACGUGAGUAACCUGCCCUUGACUUUGGGAUAACUUCAGGAAACUGGGGCUAAUAACGGAUAGGAGCUCCUGCUGCAUGGUGGGGGUUGGAAAGUUUCGGCGGUUGGGGAGGGACUCGCGGCUUAUCAGCUUGUUGGUGGGGUAGUGGCUUACCAAGGCUUUGACGGGUAGCCGGCCUGAGAGGGUGACCGGCCACAUUGGGACUGGGAAACGGCCCGGACUCCUACGGGAGGCAGCAGUGGGGAAUAUUGCACAAUGGGCGGAAGCCUGAUGCAGCAACGCCGCGUGCUGGAUGACGGCCUUCGGGUUGUAACCCGCUUUCGCCUGUGACGAAGCGUGAGUGACGGUAAUGGGUAAAGAAGCACCGGCUAACUACGUG
rnacentral:rRNA from 1 species